rnacentral:rRNA from 1 species
UACGGGGGGGGCAAGCGUUGUUCGGAAUUACUGGGCGUAAAGGGUGCGUAGGCGGUCAAUUAAGUCAGACGUGAAAUCCCUCGGCUUAACCGGGGAACUGCAUCUGAUACUGGAUGGCUUGAGUGUGGGAGAGGGAUGCGGAAUUCCAGGUGUAGCGGUGAAAUGCGUAGAUAUCUGGAGGAACACCGGUGGCGAAGGCGGCAUCCUGGACCAACACUGACGCUGAGGAGCGAAAGCCAGGGGAGCAAACGGG